CCCGGGGCUGGGCUUCGUGUCCUGCGUUCCGGGAGCGCCAACCCCUCCAGGCUGGAGUGCAGUGGCGAGAUCUCGGCUCACUGCAGCCUCAACCUCCCAAGGCUCAAACGAUCCUCUCGCCUCAGCCUUCUGAGUAGCUGGGAUCACAGAGGGGACGUGGCUGGUGGCUGGAGAAGCUGGAUUUGCCCUUUGAUGGUGGCCCUCUUGAUCCCCGGCUUGCUGAAGUCAAAGGAGAGGCUGUCGAUGCUGAGGCACGAGAGAAUUUGCUCCUGCUCCUCCAGAGAAAAUGGCUGGGACAGGCUGUUGAGGAAUAAUUCUGCAGGGAAAAGUGGAAGAUGGCUGUGAAAGACUGGGAGGAGGCUGGCUGUGUUUUCAGGGGUUCUUCCUGCACAGUCGGUAGAAGCUGAGCUGCUGGGGAAGGGGCUGGAAGAAAGCCCACACCGCAGGUAUCAGUAGCAAAUUCAAAAACUACAGAAUCAGCUCCAGAGGACUUUGUUAACAAGAAAGAGAAGAUUGAAAACAGCCCUGGGGCUACACCAACUCAAGAGCUCCCAGGCAAAGUGGCAUCCUGGACCCACCAUCUCUCCUACCCCAUCCUCAGUCGGUACUUCCCCAGGCACCGUUUGUUCUGGCAUGGGGCUAGUUCAGCCCUGGGACCACCCUCAUCCUUAUAACUACCAGCUGUCUUUGGUGAGGUGCAAGAUCUCUCUGGUUUUCUUUAUUUCAUUUUCAUUCCUAUAAUCACAGCCUUUUUUGUGCCCAUCCCUCAGGUGACAUUCUAUUAUGUUUGAUGUGUCAUUUUUGAUUUGGUUGUGUCCUUGCAAAAUGUGC
ensembl:lncRNA MAP3K14-AS1 MAP3K14 antisense RNA 1